rnacentral:SRP_RNA from 1 species
UGGUAAGCCCUGUACGACCAGCUCCCAGUUACAUUCCCAGGGUCGGAAGGCAGCAAGCUUGGAUUGGUUGAGCGGUGCGAUACAGGUUGCUUACCAUUU